UACAGAGGGUGCAAGCGUUAAUCGGAAUUACUGGGCGUAAAGCGUGCGUAGGUGGUUUACUAAGUCAGGUGUGAAAUCCCCGGGCUCAACCUGGGAACUGCGCUUGAUACUGGUAAACUAGAGUUUAGUAGAGGGAAGUGGAAUUCCACGUGUAGCGGUGAAAUGCGUAGAUAUGUGGAGGAACACCAAUGGCGAAGGCAGCCCCCUGGGAUAACACUGACGCUCAUGUACGAAAGCGUGGGUAGCAAACAGG
rnacentral:rRNA from 1 species